rnacentral:rRNA from 1 species
CACGUAGGGGGCAAGCGUUAUCCGGAUUUACUGGGUGUAAAGGGAGCGUAGGUGGCAUGGCAAGUCAGAUGUGAAAGCCCGGGGCUCAACCCCGGGACUGCAUUUGAAACUGCCAGGCUGGAGUGCAGGAGAGGUAAGUGGAAUUCCUAGUGUAGCGGUGAAAUGCGUAGAUAUUAGGAGGAACACCAGUGGCGAAGGCGGCUUACUGGACUGUAACUGACACUGAGGCUCGAAAGCGUGGGGAGCAAACAGG